rnacentral:rRNA from 1 species
AGGACGAACGCUGGCGGCGUGCUUAACACAUGCAAGUGGAGCGACGAACCGGGGCUUGCCCCGGGGCAGAGCCGCGAACGGGUGAGUAACACGUGGGUAACCUACCUCGAUGAUUGGGACAACCCGGGGGAAACUCGGGCUAAUACCAAAUGUGCUCGUAGACCAUGAGGUCCAUGAGUAAAGAUAGCUUCGGCCUUCGCAUCGAGACGGGCCCGCGGCCCAUUAGCUUGUUGGUGAGGUAACGCUCACCAAGGCAACGAUGGGUAGCUGGUCUGAGAGGACGAUCAGCCACACUGGGACUGAGACACGGCCCAGACUCCUACGGGAGCAGCAGUGGGGAUCUGCGCAAUGCGACGAAAGCGUGACGCAGCAACGCCGCGUGGAGGAAGACGGUCCGUCGGAUUAGUAACUUCCUUUCGAGGUUAGGACGA